rnacentral:rRNA from 1 species
UACGGGGGGGGGCAAGCGUUGUUCGGAAUUACUGGGCGUAAAGGGCUCGUAGGCGGCCAACUAAGUCAGACGUGAAAUCCCUCGGCUUAACCGGGGAACUGCGUCUGAUACUGGAUGGCUAGAGGUUGGGAGAGGGAUGCGGAAUUCCAGGUGUAGCGGUGAAAUGCGUAGAUAUCUGGAGGAACACCGGUGGCGAAGGCGGCAUCCUGGACCAAUUCUGACGCUGAGGAGCGAAAGCGUGGGGAGCAAACAGG